rnacentral:rRNA from 1 species
AUGUCAGUUUCGUUAUUACAACCUUAUUUUUUUAUGUCAAAGACAAAAAGCUACGCGCAAAUUCUCAUUGGAUCUCGGUUAUUCUUAACAGCGAUGGCUAUUCAUUUAAGUCUUCGGGUAGCACCACCAGAUCUUCAACAAGGUGGAAAUUCUCGUAUUUCGUAUGUACAUGUUCCCGCGGCUCGGAUGAGUAUAGUUAUUUAUAUCACGACAGCUAUAAACAGUUCCUUGUUCCCAUUAACAAAACAUCCCCUUUUUCUUCGCUCUUCCGGAACCGGUACAGAAAUUGGUGCUUUUUCUACUUUGUUUACGUUAGUGACUGGGGGGUUUCGGGGAAGGCCUAUGUGGGGUACCUUUCGGGUGUGGGAUGCUCGUUUAACUUCUGUAUUCAUCUUGUUCCUUAUUUACCUGGGUGCACUGCGUUUUCAAAAGCUUCCUGUCGAACCGGCUCCUAUUUCAAUCCGUGCUGGACCGAUCGAUAUACCAAUAAUAAAGUCUCCAGUCAACUGGUGGAAUACAUCGCAUCAACCUGGGAGCAUUAGCCGAUCUGGUACAUCAAUACAUGUUCCUAUGCCCAUUCCAAUCUUGUCUAACUUUGCUAACUUCCCCUUCUCUACCCGUAUCUUGUUCGUUCUAGAAACACGUCUUCCUAUUCCAUCUUUUCCCGAAUCUCCCUUAACGGAAGAAAUAGAAGCUCGAGAAGGAAUACCACUAAAAACCUAG